AUGGUCGGAGAGGAUUUGAACAAUGGUGUUGAUGAUUGCAUGGAUAUCUCAGGUAGAUUGCAUUGUGGCGUCAAUAAUCCCCCAAACGAGUUUGCCUCAAAUCAUGCUAUCAACCUCAGUCUUUUUGGCGGUGCGGCAAAUUUCAACAAGUGGAUGGAUGUGAAUGUGAGCCCAUCUUGCCCUCCUCGGACCAGGAGUAAAGUCAAAAAUCUCAUUGGUGAGUUUGCGUCUGGCAUGACCAACAUUCUUGGGAAACUAGUUCAGGGUUGGACAGGCUUGUCUAAGGGUGAAAGUGAUGAGGUUGGCCGGCAUUUCCGUAAUGUUGCUGCAGUUGGUGCGUCAAUGUCGAUUGGUGCCAGUGGCCGAUUCGAGUACAAUAGCUCACAGGAGACUGGCGACACCCAGAAGAAUCUAUUUGAUGGCGACUUUGACUCGGGGCACGGUGAGGAUCAUGAUGAGACUGCUGAGGCUGGUGCUGACAUAGAUGUAGAUGUGGACAAGCCAAGUGAGGAAGAUGGCGGUGGGCAGGACGGAACUGAAGUAGGCUUCGAUGGGCAAGCCACUGGAAUUGACAAGGUAGGAGAGAUGCAUGAGGCAAAGGUCAUUGGUGGUGCUGGUGGAAACGGAGGCGGCGUUGCUGCUCUUUCGAAGAGGGGCAUGGAGGGUGUUGGUGAUGGUGUUGAUGUCGUGGUUAAGAGAGCGAGGGUUGAUCCUGUUGCAGCCAGGAGGAGGCAGUAUAAGAAGACUGCGGGUUGGAAAAAGUGUCCACCCAAAGCCACAAUGAUCAAGAUAAAGUCCAGACCCGCAUCAUCGAUGGAAGUUGCAGCUGUAGCCCCUGCGCCAAAAUCCAAUGCGGCUACUGUCAAUACAGCUAUUGCGAGCAGUUCAGCUACGUCAGUCAGUUUCCUAUCCUCGCCGGCAGAUAUGCUUUCUACAAAUGAAGACAUCCAAGACGCUCCUAGGGAUGAUCUCAUAUCACCUAGGACCAAAGAGUUUGUUCCAACAAUAUUCUCUUUGAUAACCGGUGUUAGUGGUGUGUUAGACGGAAGCAUUGUCGGAGAUAAGGUCCAACCGAACGCUGAUGUUAUGGAGAAACAUUCUGACCAGAUUGAUCCUACUAUUGCUACUACCCCGGAGUUUGCGUCUUCUUGUCACAUUCAAUCCGAUGCACAUAUAGUGGAUCUACAUGCGACAAAAGGCAUUGUUAGUUCUGAAGCACAUGUCAGAGAUUCCACAAAUAUCUCGGACACGGUUGUGGUGGAUUCGAUGGUGCGAACGGUUGCCCCUGCUACAACCGAUAUUGGUGUGCUCCAUAAGUUGAGUCCCCCGAAGAAGGUUCCGGCACGGUCAGCUGAGAAGGAGGAUGGAUCGAUGUUCAUUCGUGUGUCUUCUCUAUUUCCAGCAACUGCUUCCAGCAAUACAGUCGAGCCGGUUCAAAGUAAGGAGAUUAGAGACGUUGUGGAGCAGCAGUGUGUCGCGCCCCAUGCAAGCAAGCUACCCAUUUCACCCAAGCCAAGGACCAUGACCCCGAACAUGAUUGGGGUGUCUCAUGCAGCUGCCAGGGAGCAACUUUCGAGGAGCAAAUUUGUGGAGGAAGUUAUCGAAGUUCCUGACAACAACCCACCUGAACUUGUCAAGGUGGCCACGUUAGAUUUGGCCAAAUCAUACUUGCAGAAGCAAGGCACACCGAGGGAGAGGCGCCCUAUGGAAUUCACCCCGCCGUCAUGCAGCCUUGGCAUAGAGAAGGCAAUCGAUGCAACACCUGUCUCCUCUGCGCACCCCCUGCUCGAAGAACCAAUGCUUGCACAACCAAUUAUGCAAGUGUCGAAAGUUGUCAAGUUUGCCAAGCCUAUAGUGCAAGCUUACACAAAGAUGGAGCAAGAUGCUCUGAAAAAUCAGUCCAUCAGGAAACAAGUUGAUUCAAGUUUGAAUCUUUCUACCCAGUCAAGUGCAGACGUUGUCAAAAGUGCUACCAGAGGGUUUGUUCGACAGGCAAGGGUUGUGCAUCGGCCAGAAUCGGUUGACUAUGAGCCUACAAUUAAGGCUACAAAGGAACAACAUCAUUUGUACGAGCUUUUGAAGCGGUAUGCGGAUGCUAGAUCAAACAACAGAGCUACAAAGAAGAUCAGAGAAACGAGGAUCAUAAAGUCCAGGGGCAAUCAUGUUCUUCUUGGUGAACUGGCUGAUGCCUUGAAGCCUACAGGGAAAAUGAUUGUGCCGCUCACCUUCACUGCCAUUGAGUAUCUAAACAAUCAUGGUGGCCUCCCGAAAGGCAAGAUUAUUAUGUCCCAUAGUGUUACCAGGAAAAUCAUGGCUGGUGACUUUCAAAAUAGGGAAAUCAAGAACUGUUUUGCGCAUAAGGGUGAAUUCAAUCUAUCAGUCAAGGAGUUGAUCAUGUUCCCUCUCUUCCAGGAACUUGCUCCAGAUAACCCAAUUGAUAAAGCCGGUCACUUCUACACUAUUUGCAUCAACAAUGAGAAGCAAAGGAUCGAGGUUCUUGACUCUAUGCGUUUAGAAUCGAGUGAGAGCUUACAAUCACAUGUGGGGGAGUUCAUAUGUAAGUUGAAGGAAUGUUGGUGUAUCCACUACAAGGAUUCAAAGGCGAAGAUUGAGAAUUAUCAUGUAAAAUAUAUUGAGACUAAGAAGCAAGAGGGCAUCCAUGAGUGUGGUUUCUACAUGCUCGAGUAUUUUGCAAAGUGGCAGGGUCACAUUGUGCCCACCAUUACGAAGGAGAGCAUUGCUGAGCUUAGGAAGGUGCUUGCGUGGGACUGGAUCACAAACACCAAUUUCAAUGAGCUCCAGACUUCGAAGCAGUUCCUGGAGGAUAGUGUGAAGGGUACCCUCAAUAAGUACAAGCGGAAGAUUUGA
rnacentral:rRNA from 1 species